rnacentral:rRNA from 1 species
UCUGUCACUGACGCNGAGGCUCGAAAGCGUGGGUAGCGAACAGGAUUAGAUACCCUGGUAGUCCACGCCGUAAACGAUGAGUGCUAGGUGUUAGGCCCUUUCCGGGGCUUAGUGCCGGAGCUAACGCAAUAAGCACUCCGCCUGGGGAGUACGACCGCAAGGUUGAAACUCAAAGGAAUUGACGGGGGCCCGCACAAGCGGUGGAGCAUGUGGUUUAAUUCGAAGCAACGCGAAGAACCUUACCAGGUCUUGACAUCCCGAUGCUAUUCUUAGAGAUAGGAAGUUACUUCGGUACAUCGGAGACAGGUGGUGCAUGGUUGUCGUCAGCUCGUGUCGUGAGAUGUUGGGUUAAGUCCCGCAACGAGCGCAACCCUUAUUGUUAGUUGCCAUCAUUAAGUUGGGCACUCUAGCGAGACUGCCGGUAAUAAACCGGAGGAAGGUGGGGAUGACGUCAAAUCAUCAUGCCCCUUAUGACCUGGGCUACACACGUGCUACAAUGGUCGGUACAACGAGUUGCGAGCCGGUGACGGCAAGCUAAUCUCUGAAAGCCGAUCUCAGUUCGGAUUGGAGGCUGCAACUCGCCUCCAUGAAGUCGGAAUCGCUAGUAAUCGCGGAUCAGCACGCCGCGGUGAAUACGUUCCCGGGCCUUGUACACACCGCCCGUCACACCACGAGAGUUUGUAACACCCGAAGUCGGUGAGGUANCCUUUUAGGG